GACGAACGCUGGCGGCGUGCCUAAUACAUGCAAGUCGAACGCUGAAGGCGGAGUUUGCUUCUCUGAAUGAGUUGCGAACGGGUGAGUAACGCGUAGGUAACCUGCCUGGUAGCGGGGGAUAACUAUUGGAAACGAUAGCUAAUACCGCAUAAUAGUAGAUGCUGCAUGACAUUUGCUUAAAAGGUGCAAUUGCAUCACUACCAGAUGGACCUGCGUUGUAUUAGCUUGUUGGUGAGGUAACGGCUCACCAAGGCAACGAUACAGAGCCGACCUGAGAGGGGGGUCGGCCACCCUGGGACUGGGACACGGCCCAGACUCCUACGGGAAGCAGCAAGAGGGAAUCUUCGGCAAUGGGCGGAAGUCUGACCGAGCAACGCCGCGGGAGGGAAGAAGGGCUUCGGGUCGGAAAGCUCUGUUGUAAGGGAAGAACGGGUUUGAGAGUGGAAAGUUCACACUGUGACGGUAUCUGACAAGAAAGGGACGGCUAACUACGUG
rnacentral:rRNA from 1 species